UAAAUAGCUUUUGAAGGACUUUCAGCACG
rnacentral:sRNA from 1 species